rnacentral:rRNA from 1 species
UACGGAGGGUGCAAGCGUUAUCCGGAUUCACUGGGUUUAAAGGGUGCGUAGGCGGAUAGGUAAGUCCGUGGUGAAAUCCUGCAGCUUAACUGCAGAACUGCCGUGGAUACUAUCUAUCUUGAAUGUCGUGGAGGUUAGCGGAAUAUGUCAUGUAGCGGUGAAAUGCUUAGAUAUGACAUAGAACACCCAUUGCGAAGGCAGCUAACUACGCGAUAAUUGACGCUGAUGCACGAAAAGCGUGGGGAGCGAACAGG